GGCUGGUCCAAGUGCAGUGGUGUUUACAAUUAACUGAUCACAGCCAGUUACAGACUUCUUUGCU
rnacentral:scRNA from 1 species